rnacentral:lncRNA from 1 species
CCCUUAUCUCUCUUUCCUCCAUGAACCUCCAUUAGAGAGACCUUCCAAGCUUCCCAAAAUUACAUCUAUGGCAUAAUCCUUCACUAAAUCAAGCCCUAAACACUUUCUACACUUGAUUUCAAAGAGAUUUUAGAAGGUUUGAGCAUGAAGUUUAGAGAAAAGAAUUCUACUUUUCCUUAAAAUUUUUGAGUAAGUGUUAGAUAUCUCUAGAUCUAACCAUAUUUGAGUUAGAUAUGUGUAUUUAUGCAUGAUUGAAGCAAGAAAAACACCCCCUCUCUUUUUCCGUUAAUUUUCGAAAAUCAAGGGGGUUUUCCCUUCAAAAAAUUUUCUUAUUCUUUUCUUAAAUUGGGAUGAAAUUUAUGCUUACCAAGGUGUUUUAAGAUGAUUGCUAUGUGUGUUGAAAAGCCAUGUCAUGUGAUGCAAAUUUUCACUUAGGUUAGUUUACCUAACUUUGGGAUAAUUUGAUUUUAUGGCUUAAGUGAUGAAUUGAUGAUUGAUAUAUUGCUAUUGAGGAUAUUAAUAUGAUAUUAGAUAGAUUGGAUUGAUGAUUGAGAUGGAUGGAUGGAACUUGAUGUGAGUUAGUUUGUUGGAAAUUAGAGAUAUUUGGUUAUGAGCUUCAUUAUGUAAAUUGAUGAUUUAUAUAUGCUAUUGAGAUGUCUAAUAUGAUGAAUUAUGAGAGAGAUUGAAGAUUGUAAGUGAUUUGCAAAUUUCGGUGAGAGUUAGUUUGAUGUGAUUUGGGUAAAACUUAUUCUAUGGUUUAAUUGAUUGGUUAAUAAUGCAAUUAGGUGAUUCAAUUUGAUUAGUCAAAGGUUGGAUUAAUGGUUUAUGCAUGUUUGUAAAUUUUCAAAAAGUUUAGUUUGAUAUAAAUUAAGGAUUUUUUAUUUAUGUGUUAAUUAUGCAAAUUGGCUAAGUUUAAUUGUUAUUAAGCAUGAUAGAAAUGAUAAUUAGCGAUCAAUUUGGUUAAUUAUUAAGAAUAACUAAAAUUGGUUAAGUUUAGUUUACUAAUAAUUGGGAACUUUUGAUUAAUGAGAUAAAUACUUGAAUUGAUGAUGUUUAUGUGUUAGUUAGACUACUACCAAGGAGAAAGCAUGAUUAAAUUGUUUAUUUAUAAUGAGUUAUGAAAAUUUCUCGAGUUUAGUUUACGUGCAUAUAUGAGAUCUUGUAUAUAAGAUGAGUUAUGAGUCAAGCAUGUCUAUAUGUGGCUAAUUGAUGAUAAAUUGAGCUUAUAUAUGCGAUAUGAGAUGAAAUGAAUCAUCCCCUAAAAACCUAUAUGUUGGCCGAAUGUGACGAGUAAUAUUCCUACAUCAGGGACUCUCUGCUCAGCAAUAAGUGUCAGUGAUGAAGUUCAGCAGAGAUGGGAAGAGUACAAAAAUUAAGGGCCUUCCACAUUUGAUUUACAACAUCUAUGAAUGAAGAUUUGGGUCCUCCACUAUAACAGCCCUUGGCAGCGACACCCUUGUGUCUCUUGUAUGGGAAGAAUUACAGCCCUGCAUUCACUCAUGGCUCGGGUCUUCUCAACACAAUGGGGAAUUUCAGCCCUACACUAGACUUCUCGGUGCAAGAGAACUUCCAGCCCUGCUCUUGACUUCUCACACACACCAGGACUUCCAACCCUACGCGGGAUUUCUUGAGGAUUUCCAAUACUGCGCUGACUUUUGGGCACGACGGAGGGACCUCCAGCUUGCUCAAGAUUUUCUCGCGCAACAGGUUUCCAG